AUUGAACGCUGGCGGCAGGCCUAACACAUGCAAGUCGAACGAGUGGCAGACGGGCGAGGAAUGUCUGGGAAACUGCCUGAUGGUGGGGGAUAACCACUGGAAACGGUAGCUAACAACGCAUACUAUCGGAUGCGCCCAGAGGGGAUUAGCUAGUAGGUGGGGUAACGUCUCACCUAGGCGACGCUCCCUAGCUGGUCUGAGAGGAUGACCCGCCACACUGGAACUGAGACACGGUCCAGACUCCUACGGGAGGCAGCAGUGGGGAAUAUUGCACAAUGGGCGCAAGCCUUAUGCAGCCAUGCCGCGUGUAUGAAGAAGGCCUUCGGGUUGUAAAGUACUUUCAGCGGGGAGGCGUUACCCGCAGAAGAAGCACCGGCUAACUCCGUGCCAGCAGCCGCGGUAAUAC
rnacentral:rRNA from 1 species